UACGUAGGGGGCAAGCGUUUGUCCGGAUUUAUUGGGCGUAAAGAGCGUGUAGGCGGCUUCACAGGUCUGCUGUGAAAACUCGAGGCUCAACCUCGAGCUGUCGGUGGAAACCGUGGGGCUAGAGUCCGGAAGAGGAGAGUGGAAUUCCCGGUGUAGCGGUGAAAUGCGCAGAUAUCGGGAAGAACACCCGUGGCGAAGGCGGCUCUCUGGGACGGUACUGACGCUGAGACGCGAAAGCGUGGGGAGCAAACAGG
rnacentral:rRNA from 1 species